rnacentral:misc_RNA from 1 species
GUGAAUCAUCGAAUUUUUGAACGCAAAUUGCACUCUCCUCUGAGAGUAUGCCUGUUUGAGGGUGAGCCUAUGAAAAAUCAACAUCGUUUCUGUUGCGCGUGGGUGUGCGUCGGAAAUUGGGUUAUCUUAAACCCGUUUGGGUAUUAAGCGACUUAAAAUUUUCUUUUUGGCUCCAUGAAC